GUCUAGGGGUGCGGGGGCGCGAGGGGAGGUGGCAGGGCGCCGCGCCGGAAGUGCCCGGAACGGCAGAGGAAGCGCAGCGGCGCGCAGAGCAGGCCAAGCCGGCGGCGAGGCCGCUUGCUCCUCGGUACGGACAGGCUGCAGGGAGCAGGCGGCGGCAUCGGCCUCUGGCCCUCCUCCGAGGCACAGCGCGGCCCCAACGGGCGUUGAUUCCCCGGGAAGGACCCCGUUGGGAGAAGAAAGUGAGGAGGCCGUGCGAAGGCCCUGAGCUUAGAGGCCUUGGGGCCUUGUUUGCGUCACAGCAUCCACAUGGCCUCGGGAGUGGGCGCUGCCUUCGAGGAGCUGCCUCACGACGGCACGUGUGACGAGUGCGAGCCCGACGAGGCUCCGGGGGCCCAGGAAGUGUGCCGAGAAUGCGGCUUCUGCUACUGCCACCGCCAUGCCGAGGCGCACAGGCAGAAGUUCCUCAGUCACCACCUGGCAGAAUACAUCCAUGGCGCUGGGGCCUGGACCUCAGGAGCCAAGAGAGAGGGCGAGGGGCAAGAUAAAGGUGAAGCCAAGGUAGAGAAUGAGACAGAGAUAGAUAGCGAAGCUGGGGAAGAGAAUGAGUCCGAGGAAGAGAGUGAAUCAGAAGAGAGCGAGACGGAGGAAGAGAGUGAGGAUGAGAGUGAUGAAGACAGUGAAGAAGAUAGCGAGGAAGAAAUGGAGGAUGAGCAAGAAAGUGAGGCAGAGGAAGACAACCAGGAAGAAGGAGAAUCUGAGGCUGAGGGAGAAACUGAAGCAGAGAGUGAAUUCGACCCAGAAAUAGAAAUGGAAGCAGAGAGAGUGGCUAAGAGAAAGUGUCCAGACCAUGGGCUAGAUUUGAGCACCUAUUGUCAGGAAGAUAGGCAGCUCAUCUGUGUCCUGUGUCCGGUCAUUGGGGCUCAUCAGGGCCACCAACUCUCCACCCUAGACGAAGCGUUCGAAGAACUAAGAAGCAAAGACUCAGGCGGACUGAAGGCAGCUAUGAUAGAGUUGGUGGAAAGGUUAAAAUUCAAGAGCUCAGAUCCUAAAGUAACUCGGGACCAGAUGAAGGUGUUCAUACAGCAGGAAUUUAAGAAAGUUCAGAAAGUGAUUGCUGAUGAGGAACAGAAGGCCCUUCAUCUAGUGGACAUCCAGGAAGCAAUGGCCACGGCUCAUGUGACUGAAAUAUUGGCAGACAUCCAAUCCCAUAUGGAUAGGUUGAUGACUCAGAUGGCCCAAGCCAAGGAACAACUUGAUACCUCUAAUGAAUCAGCUGAGCCAAAGGCAGAGUUAAAAGCAAAUUGCAUCUUCUGGUUCUGAACAAGAUGGCGCAAACACAUUCCAUUUUAUUCCUCUUGCUGAUUAUAAAAAUCCCUGGACAAAAUAUAUUAAGUCACCUACCAGAAGAUUCUGAAAGGUGUAAAAAAGAUGGCACAUUGGCUUGGAACCUUGGGAUUUGAGGAACUACACGAUAGGUGAUGAGGAAGGACCCAGACUCACUUGCCCUGUCUGCUCUGUUUGAGCCUUCAGAGAAGGGAAGGAAUGCUGCAAGGAAAGCCCAGGGGGAAUAAACUGUGCCAUCAGGGCUGUGGCAGAAGAGCACCUGGAGAAACGUGGGCAGUGCUCUUUUCCAUGGUCUUGGCAAGUGGCAGCUUGCAGAGAGAGGUGCUUUCACGACAGUGGCUGCCCUCACAGCUUCAGACUCAUGUACCUUGGACACAGUGAGAUUGGGGAACGGCUGCCUCUCUCAGCCAGGGGUGGUGCAGGCUGCUGUUUGGAAGAGCAGGGUGUGAAAUCACAUUUAUCGUCCUGAGACAUUUCCCAAAAUAAAAAGACUUUUUGUGCUGACUCCUGCUUUUCCAACUGUGGCCUGUUUCCUCUUCUUUUAAAACAAUCUUUUCUACACAGCUGUUCUCUUCCUCCCCAGCUUUGAGUGAUAGGGCUGACAUCUUGGGAGAAAGAAAAUGAUCUCUUUCUUCAAAGGUUAUGUCUCUGUCACACCCAGAAGUUGCUUAAACUUCAGUCUUUGCCUCUGGAGGUUUGAGGCAAGGUGAGGAGUGCCCAAGCCAGACUUCUGACUCCCUGUGGACUGAAAGAAAGAAGGGUCAGCUCUUAGCCCUGAAUGAGCCAGAAUCAGUCAGUGAAUGAGUUUUUUACUGAGUCUCAACCAAGUGCUUAGACUUGUGGUGGGAUGGAAUCUUUGCCCUCUUAAGUUGCUUAUAACCAAGGGUAAGUGAUGGAGGAUAGUCAAGAUUAUCAUAUACAACAUAAUCAGACAAUAAUGAGAUAAUAACGUAAUUAAGAUCCAAAUUUUUUUUUUUAACUCUAGAAGUUGUAGGAGUUUUCAGAAUCAGUGCAAUGCAGUGGUUAAGGAAUAUGGCUUUGGGGUCAAAGGUUCUGGAUUUGAAUUCCAGCUUUACCACCUACUAGCUAUGUAAUCUUAGGCCUGCUAUUUAAACUCUCUAGGCCUUGGUUUUCUCAUCUCUAAAAUGGGGGUAAUAAUAGUGUCUAAAAUAAGGAUGAAAUGAGAUGAUUUAUUCAUUCAGUAAAAACAUCUGUCAAGUGCCUUGUUUAUGAGAGAGACUGUUCUAAGUGCUUGGGGUAUGCAAAUGACCCUGACAUUGCAGUGGCUUACAGUAAAUGUUUGUUUCUCUCACAUACUACAUGUUCAUUAUGGAUUGGCUUUAGCUCUGCUCCCUUCCCGCUCAUUCUAAGACCAAGGGUAAAAGAGCAACCUCUAUGACGGACAUACUGGCAGAGGGAAAAGAAGAAUGGCAAACCAUGCAACGCAUUCCAGUAGAGCAGGGGAUCACUGUUGGAGCAGAGUGAGGAGUGAUUUCAGACAGGGAGAUGACUCCUGGUGGCCCACUAGAUGAGAAGACUGUUGCAGUGAUUCAGAUGAAAGAUUUUGAAGUUCUGGACUUGGAGGAAACAUAGAUAGGAGACAUGGAGAGGACUUAGGGUGUGCUUUAUCUGCUGGAUGAGAAGGAUGGAACUAAAUCAAGAGCCCUGGCUUCCAAGCCUAGCUCUGCCACUACUCAGCUAUGAAAACUCAGACAAGUCACUGAAUAUCUCUGGGCUUGUGUUGGAACCUUUGUAAAAUGAAAGGCCUGAGUUUGAUGCGGGCCGUAAGGUUCUUUCCACCUCUACCCCUCUAUGGCUCUAAGACUCCAAGAUCUUUGUCGUGGGAGAAAAAGCACAGAUGGGGGGUGGUGCUAUUGGGAGGCAAGGUUGAUUUGGAGAGAAAGAUGUUAUACCAACUCCUGUUCUGCAUUUAUCUCAGCCCAAUGGUCUUUGCUCUUUGCCUUUUUUCAUAGCCCUCACUUUCUCCUUGGCUCUGUUUUGAAUCCAAAAAGGAGAUAGAAUUUAUCAUUCAUCUCCAAAGUGGGGUGGUUGGGAACACAUGGGACCUCAAGGUCAUGGGGCUAAUAUAGCUUCUGCACAAUUUUUUUCCAGUAUGUUUUCUUAUCCUGGCAUUUUUAUAUGCUUCUUUCAGCAUAUUUGCAUAAUGAUAAUAUCUUCACAAAUGUGAGCCUAAGGAGUCUGUUUGGGGAGAAACCCUUUUCUCCUACCCCUGCAUUUCCACAGAAUCAUAAACUUCUGCCAGCUCUUCCUCCUCCUCAAGAGCAUGCUUCUGCCUCUCUUUCUACUCCUUUCUUACUUCUUCCAAUGGAAGAGGAGAAACUGUCUGGCAAGAGUCUGGUAGUCAUUUGGCUUCUCUUCUCUGUUGUGCACAAUUAAUGUGUUAACAAUCACUGCACUGAAAAGACAGCACAGCUGCAUCUUUCUUCUCUUUUGCUUUCUUGGAUCACCUGACCUCAGGGAGGGUGAGACUUCCUUGCUCUUGUGGUCUUCAUUGCAUUAAGCAGACUGGGAAGGAGUUGCCUCUGAUGGGCCCAGACAGGUGUUUGUUCCAACUUUUCCAUCAGUGACUAGAUAAGUAAAUCAGGUCAUUCCUUUUCUAGGAUUCAGAUUAAUUUAGUGGAGGAGGUGGCAGGAGGCACCUACUUUAGCCUCAGAUGCCAGUUUAUCUUUGUCAGCACUGCACUUCGUUACUUGGGUCUCCAUUAACAGAAGUAGUGCCUUGAUCACGGUUUAGCUCCAUAAAUACCUAAUCUCCCUGUUUGAAACUAGAUAAGACAGUGAAUAAAUGACACCACAACCUUCAGCAGAAUCCUUUCAACAUCAUAUCAUAGUUACAAUGGCUUUCUAUCCCCCUUCUUCAGCUUUGCCAGCAGGAAAGUGCAGUUAUCAAAGAGGAGACUAUUAUUUGCCAUGCCGCAUAGGAUGUAGUUUACAAAAGUUGAGUUGCCAUCAACCAGUGUCUGGCUUGACACAUAAACCAUAUUUCCAGAAGACUCAGUCCAGCUCUGUAUCAUGGCAUUUUAGCCACUUCUGCUAAAAUGCUGGGUUUGAUACUUUUCUCAAAUGGCUAUUUUAGUUAAAUGAUUACUUUCACUUUUUGGUACUAAAUUUAUUGUACAGUAUGAGCUCCCCAAAGAUGAGAGUUGUACCUAAUAGUUUUUGUUUUUUUUUAACCUCCAUCCUCAUCCCAUAUCCCACAGUGUUUUGGACUAUAACUUUUUAACUGGCAGGUACCUAAUAAAUUCCUACAUGAUACCAAAAGAUAGUGGUACUUCUUUGUUUUGUUUUUUACUAAAAUUGACAAGCUAACUCAGUUGAAAUGGUGAACCAAUUUGUGAACAUGGAUGCAACCCCAGUUGACUCGUUUGAGAAAAAAAAUUUAAUCUUAAUCAUUGUUUCCAGGACCUCUCCCAUGAAACAGAGCUAAUGGGUAUUAAUUUAUUCCACAGCAUGUGUGCCAGACACUGUAUGAGGCACGACACAGAUAAAGAAUAAACUAUGGGCCCUGCUCUUAAGGCACUCGUAGUUCAGUUGAGAAAUGAAACUCAUGAGCAAAGAAUUAUAAUAUACCAGUAGGAGAACUCACAGAGAGAAAUGUAUUAAGUACUAUAGAAGGCAGAGUAAAAAGUGACUAAUUCUUAGGGAACCAGGGAAAGUUUCACAGACGUUGACCCAUUCAGACCAGUUGCCUGAACAGAGCUGUACAACAGUAAGAUGACUGGUGACAGCAUGGAGAAUAGACAUCAUAAUAGUAAGCUCUGAUAGGUA